ACACGGACCAAGGAGUUUAUCGUGUGCGCAAGUUUUUGGGUGUUAAAAACCUAAAAGCGAAAUGAAAGUAAAUGGCUCUUUAGAGCUUGAUGUGCGAUCUUGUUAAAAAGUGCAGCAUGGCCCCAUUCUAACUGUUUACAGUAGGGUGGCGGAAGAGCGUACGCGGUGAGACCCGAAAGAUGGUGAACUAUUCCUGAGCAGGACGAAGCCAGAGGAAACUCUGGUGGAAGUCCGAAGCGGUUCUGACGUGCAAAUCGAUCGCUGACUUGGGUAUAGGGGCGAAAGACUAAUCGAACCAUCUAGUAGCUGGUUCCCUCUGAAGUUUCCCCCAGGAUAGCUGGAGCUCACGAGUAGUUAUACUCGGUAAAGCGAAUGAUUAGAGGACUUGGGAACGAAAUGUUCUUAACCUAUUCUCAAACUCUAAAUGGGUAUGAUAUCAAAGUUGCUUGAUUUUGAACUUUGGCGUUGAAUACGAGCUCCAAGUGGGCCAUUUUUGGUAAGCAGAACUGGCGAUGUGGGAUGAACCAAACGCGGAGUUGCGGUGCCAAAGUGCCCGCUCAUUAGACCCCAUAAAAGGUGUUGGUUGAUACAGACAGCAGGACGGUGGCCAUGGAAGUCGGAAUCCGCUAAGGAGUGUGUAACAACUCACCUGCCGAAUCAACUAGCCCUGAAAAUGGAUGGCGCUGGAGCGGGCCACCUAUACUCUGCCGUCAUAUGCUUGUAUUUUUAAGUCUUGCAAUGACGUGUAAGAGGGUCGUAGUGGUUGCGUUGAAGGCUUUGGGUGUGCACCCAGCUGGAGCUUCCACUAGUGCAGAUCUUGGUGGUAGUAGCAAAUAUUCAAGUGAGAUCCUUGAAGACUGAAGUGGAGAAGGGUUCCACGUGAACAGCAGUUGAAUGUGGGUCAGUCGAUCCUAAGGCACCGGCUAAAGCCGUCUAGACACUGCGGGGAGAUGAGAUACUUAACGGUAUUUUGUCCACCCGGUUGCCGAAAGGGAAGUGGGUUAAUAUUCCCACACCAGGCAUGGGAGAUGGUGAUCCGCAAGGAUUACUUUGCGCGGUGACGCAAACGAACUCGUAGACCUCGUGUGGAGUCCGGGCCAGAGUUCUCUUUUCUGGUUUAGAGAUCAUGUCCCUGGAAGUGGCUCAGCCUGAGAUAGGGAUGCUGGUCUCGUAAAGCGCAGCGGUUCCUGUUGUGUCCCGUGUGCUCCACAUGAGCCGUGAAAAUGCGAGGGAGGCAAUUUAAAAUCUCCUGCCUGAUCGUACCCAUAUCCGCAGCAGGUCUCCAAGGUGAACAGCCUCUAGUCGAUAGAAUAAUGUAGGUAAGGGAAGUCGGCAAAUUAGAUUCGUAACUUCGGGAAAAGAAUUGGCUCUAAAGGUUGGGUCAGUCGGGCUGUUGUGUGAAACAGGUGGACUUUGCUCGUGACUGCUUGCGCUUCCUUUCGGGGCGGCGCUUGUGGACUAGUAGUGAGGACUGCUUGUGGAGCGCUUCAGCUGCGUGCUAUUUCGCAAGAUAUAGUACUUCGAUUGGCGCUGAACAACCAGUUUAGAACUGGCACGAACUCCGGGAAUCCGACUGUCUAAUUAAAACAGAGGAGACGGAUGGUCCUUGCAGGACGUUGACCGUGUCUGAUUUCUGCCCAGUGCUCUGAAUGUUAAGCCAAGGAAACUUGAUUAAGCGCGGGUAAACGGCGGGAGUAACUAUGACUCUCUUAAGGUAGCCAAAUGCCUCGUCGGCUAACUACCGACGCGCACGAAUGGAUCAACGAGAUUCCCACUGUCCCUAUCUACUAUCUAGCGAAACCACAGCCAAGGGAACGGGCUUGGCAAAUUUAGCGGGGAAAGAAGACCCUGUUGAGCUUGACUCUAGUCUGACUUUGUGAAGAAUCAUGAGAGGUGUAGCAUAAGUGGGAGUCGCAAGACAACAGUGAAAUACCACUACUUUCAUCGAUUCCUUACUUAAUCGGUAAAACGGGAGUUGUGUCUAAGGACCUUCAUUUUUGUUUUAAGCUAGCCACUCGGUGGUUGGUUGACUCGCGCCGAUGACAUUGUCAGGCGGGGAGUUUGGACUGGGGCGGUACAUCUGUCAAAUUGUAACGCAGGUGUCCUAAGGCGAGCUCAGAGAGGCGGAAACCUCUCGUAGAGCAAAAAGGCAAAUGCUUACUUGAUCUUGAUUUUCAGUCGAAUACAGACCGCGAAAGCGUGGCUAUCGAUCCUUUUGAGUUUGUAAAGUUUACAGCAAGAGGUGUC
rnacentral:rRNA from 1 species